rnacentral:rRNA from 1 species
AUUGAACGCUGGCGGCAUGCCUUACACAUGCAAGUCGAACGGUAACAGGUCUUCGGAUGCUGACGAGUGGCGAACGGGUGAGUAAUACAUCGGAACGUGCCUAGUAGUGGGGGAUAACUACUCGAAAGAGUGGCUAAUACCGCAUGAGAUCUACGGAUGAAAGCAGGGGAUCGCAAGACCUUGUGCUACUAGAGCGGCCGAUGGCAGAUUAGGUAGUUGGUGGGAUAAAAGCUUACCAAGCCGACGAUCUGUAGCUGGUCUGAGAGGACGAUCAGCCACACUGGGACUGAGAAACGGCCCAGACUCCUACGGGAGGCAGCAGUGGGGAAUUUUGGACAAUGGGCGCAAGCCUGAUCCAGCAAUGCCGCGUGCAGGAUGAAGGCCUUCGGGUUGUAAACUGCUUUUGUACGGAACGAAAAGCCCUGGGUUAAUACCCUGGGGUCAUGACGGUACCGUAAGAAUAAGCACCGGCUAACUACGUG